rnacentral:rRNA from 1 species
UAGGGAAUCUUCGGCAAUGGGGGGAACCCUGACCGAGCAACGCCGCGUGAGUGAAGAAGGUUUUCGGAUCGUAAAGCUCUGUUGUUAAGGAAGAACGAGUGUGAGAAUGGAAAGUUCAUGCUGUGACGGUACUUAACCAGAAAGGGACGGCUAACUACGUGCCAGCAGCCGCGGUAAUACGUAGGUCCCGAGCGUUGUCCGGAUUUAUAGGGCGUAAAGGGUACGCAGGCGGUUUAAUAAGUCGAAUGUUAAAGAUCGGGGCUCAACCCCGUAAAGCAUUGGAAACUGAUAAACUUGAGUAGUGGAGAGGAAAGUGGAAUUCCUAGUGUAGUGGUGAAAUACGUAGAUAUUAGGAGGAAUACCAGUAGCGAAGGCGACUUUCUGGACACAAACUGACGCGGAGGUACGAAAGCGUGGGGAGCAAACAGG